GCGUGAGUGAUGAAGGCCUUAGGGUUGUAAAGCUCUUUCGCCCGCGACGAUGAUGACGGUAGCGGGAGAAGAAGCCCCGGCUAACUUCGUGCCAGCAGCCGCGGUAAUACGAAGGGGGCGAGCGUUGUUCGGAAUUACUGGGCGUAAAGGGCGCGUAGGCGGCCCCUUUUGUCGCGUGUGAAAGCCCCGGGCUCAACCUGGGAACGGCGCGCGAAACGGGGGGGCUUGAGUUCGGGAGAGGAGAGUGGAAUUCCCAGUGUAGAGGUGAAAUUCGU
rnacentral:rRNA from 1 species